GGAUGCGCACCGUUACGUCACAGAAGUGGCCACGGUUGCGCUGCUCGUUGAGGGUCUCGAGCACGGAAUUGCUGAAGUUGUGAAGGUUGAUGCUGUGAAUGCGCUCGGUCAUCCCCUUGCAACUGAUGUCACCUGCAGCAUGUCAACGCAGACACAAAACAGGGCAUGGGUCAGAUCUAGCUGGUUGCAUUCCUAACACCUAGGUUUCAGAGUAAAAAUACAGAGUCAGCUUGUGAUGGCAUUCCCUCAAAACAUGGAAGGAAUUGCAGUAAUGAAAGUCAUCAUGUAUUCUAAGAGACUGUUCUGCGAGAGCACAACACAGACGGGGCUAAAGCAGGGAUUGUCUAAGCCCAGUGUGGAGGAACCAUCAAGGAUUUCAGCACGUUUUUUUAGCCAUUGUGAGAAGCAAAAGUGCUCAGGAGUUAAGAGAAGCAGACGUCCGAAAUUAUCUCCAUGCAUUACCAAAAACCGUGGGCACCACGGCACGGGGAAAACUUACCAGGUACAAUGAGCCAGUGACUGUUACUGAAUUUCUUAAGAUUACACUUUUCCCAACUACUGCAGACUGCUUCAGAAUAGAAGAAGACAACUCUCAUGCCAUCAAGCCGACGGACUUUCAAAAAAAUAAAAGAUGCAUUUCUUUACUUCUUUACUAAGGGAAUUAAUUAUCUGGAAGAACAGGAACAUACAGGCCCAUGAGAAGUAAAAGCAGGCACUGGCAUUCUGCACAGAUGAAAUACUUCCUACGACAGGAAUACAUGCUCACUUGUGGACUUCUCUGUAAUCUGUAGGCAACAUCAGCUCCUGAUUUCUAGGUCUGGAUCUGGGUUCUCUGUAGCACAGGAAGGUCUCUACUUCUCCUACAUAAAUGCCUUGCAUGGCGGGAACUAAAUCAACUACACAGACCCAUACAUCCAGAGAGCAGAGGUGAGCUGGAUACAAGUGGCUUAGAGAUGUGGUGGAAGGAGGCCAGAGCUCCAAGGGAAGGGCAGCAAGGAGACAACAGCAUGGGUUGCAGCUCAGACAACAGGUAAAUAAAACCAAGCAAAGCUGCUGGUCACAGAUUUGACCAGGGUGGCAAGAAAUGACAAGCUACCAUGAGAUUCAACAGUGGCACGGAAGGAUGAUGAGAAGCAAACAGAUUAGGAGAAGCUGCCACCACCGUACAUAGAGGCACAGAUGACCAAGCAGAACAGCACCAGUCCCUGCAAGGUGUGCUCAGAUACAGCUCAGCACAGCCAUCUGGCCAGGAGGGAAUGAUAAUGCACAUGGUGUGCACUGCAGCCGGGAAGUUGAGAACCGCUGUGGGCACCUCAGGACUGAGUCUGGUUACCCUGCUGAUCCAAGAAAUGAAGCCAUCUAAAAUUUUGCCUGCUUUCACAAUUUUCUGUGUGUGUGUGUGUGUAUUAAACAAAGUGAACUAAGAAGCCUUUUAUUGGAGACAUAAUGUACUCACAGUAGUUUCAAAAUCAAUGGUGUCACUCUUCAGGUAAAUUACUCCAAG
rnacentral:lncRNA from 1 species